UCCCAGGAGUAAUGGAUCGUGGACUCUCACCACCAUUUGAGUAAUUAAUUUAUCAGGUAAGCAUAAUGCACAUUUACUAAAGCUAUGCAUUGUUUCUCCCUAGGUGUACAUAUCGGUCUAUUUUGUGGGCCAUAUAACCUUUUUAUUGCUGCUCUUUGCGCUGCCUUAUCUGCGCAGGGUCCUGGUGCAAAGAAAGGAGGAUGUGCAGAAAUCACAAUGACCACGCCCUAUGAUUGUACAUCACUCCUCGCCCUGCCUUCCUCUGCCUCAGUAUUGAGGGCUGUUUAUUAUUAAGGAUUUGGGGGAGCAGGAGCUCCUGACAUUGAAUGAUAGAAGUUCUUGAAAACGACCGUUUUUUUUAAUGACGUACUGAUUACCGAUGCCAAUAACCCUGCAGGGAGAGGGGGACACCACAUUUUAUAGACUUUUCUACUUUCUUGGACCUUCCUGGAGUCUGUACUUGAAUAUAACCGGAUUCUGAAGAUUCUGCUACCACGAGUGAAGUUGCUCACAUUCUGCUCCCUGGACCAUAAUGAGUGCAUCUAGCUGGAUUUAUCCAGAGUGCGACUCACUGAACCCCUCCCGGGCACAGUCCUGGUAGAGUGCUGCUUACAGUGCUUUACUCAGACACAUGAUCGUGUGGGUAGAUCUCCUGAUCUCUUUCAGAUCUCUGUGUUAGCACUGACUAGUUAAGCUCCAUAGGCCAGGAUUAUUGUGAUUAAAUGCUGGAGACAAGUGCCUGAAUUAGCAGCUGUAUCUCUUGUGACUGAGUAGUCAUUAAUUCUAGGAAAACAUCUGUGGCAGGAGCUCUAUGGAACAACCAGGGUCUUCUGCUGAGGCGGCCCAAGGGAACUGCAGGAUGGGAUAGCUGGGGGGGGGCUGUAGGUUUUAAGUGGGAAGCUCAGAGUGGAAGCUAUGAGGUUAAUUUCUUUUAUCAAAUAUGCCUCUGUGCCAGGGUCUUAGGUCGGUGCCUUGACAUGGAUGCCAUGUAUAUACUAUCACAUAAAUUCCCAAAGUCUGUUGAGGCUUUAUAUAAUCAUUUGUAGAGGAGACUUCCUCCAACAUAAGAGAUUUCUAUUAAAUGUUUGUGUGUCUGGUGUUUUA